AGCGGAGCAUGUUCUGUAAUUCGAUGCAACGCGAAGAACCUUACCUGGGCUUGACAUGGUGCUGCAAGCGCACGGAAACGUGUGACCUUCGAGGGUGCACCACAGAUGCUGCAUGGCUGUCGUCAGCUCGUGUCGUGAGAUGUUGGGUUAAGUCCCGCAACGAGCGCAACCCCCGUGGUGUGUUGCCAGCGUUAAGUUGGGGACUCACACCAGACUGCCGGUGACAAACCGGAGGAAGGUGGGGAUGACGUCAAGUCAUCAUGGCUCUUACGCCCAGGGGUAGAAACGUGCUACAAUGGCGCAUACAAUGGGUUGCAAGACCGCGAGGUGGAGCGAAUCUCAUCAAAGUGCGUCUAAGUUCGGAUCGCAGUCUGCAACUCGACUGCGUGAAGGCGGAG
rnacentral:rRNA from 1 species